GUGAUAUUAAGAUAAAAAUUCUGUUAACUUUCAAGGUUAAAAGUGCUUUUUAUA
rnacentral:tRNA from 1 species